rnacentral:rRNA from 1 species
AUUGAACGCUAGCGGGAUGCCUUACACAUGCAAGUCGAACGGAGUGGCGAACGGGUGAGUAAUGUAUCGGAACGUGCCCAGUAGCGUAGGAUAACUACGCGAAAGCGUAGCUAAUACCGCCUACUAUUGGAGCGGCCGAAAUAGGAUUAGCUAGUUGGUGGGGUAACGGCUCACCAAGGCGACGGUCCGUAGGUGGGUUGAGAGGACGACCAGCCACACUGGGAAUGAGACACGGCCCCGACUCCUACGGGAGGAGGCAGUGGGGAAGUUUGGAAAAGGGGGGAAACCCUGAUCCAGCCAUCCCGGUUGUGCGAUGAAGGCCUUCGGGUUGUAAAGCACUUUUGGCAGGAAAGCGGUACCUGCAGAAUAAGCACCGGCUAACUACGUGCCAGCAGCCGCGGUAAUUC